rnacentral:rRNA from 1 species
CCUGGUUGAUCCUGCCAGUAGUUAUAUGCUUGUCUUGAAGAUUAAGCCAUGCAUGUCUAAGUAUAAACCAUUAUACUGGUGCAACUGCAGAAGGCUCAUUAAAACAGUUAUAGUUUAUUUGAUGGUACUUACUACAUGGAUAACUGUGGUAACACUAGAGCUAAUACAUGCGUAAAUUCCCGACCUUACGGAAGGGAUGUAUUUAUUAGAUCCAAAACCAAUGCGGGACUUUCGGGUUCCGGUUUGUUAGUGAUUCAUAAUAACUUCUCGGACCGCAUGGACUCGUUCCGGCGGUAGGUCAUUCAAAUUUCUGCCCUAUCAGCUUGAUUGUAGUGUAGUGGACUACAAUGGCGUUAACGGGUGACGGAGAAUUAGGGUUCGAUUCCGGAGAGGGAGCCUGAGAAACGGCUACCACCUCUAAGGAAGGCAGCAGGCGCGCAAACUACCCAAUUCUCAAUGAGAGAGGUAGUGAAGAUAAAUAUCAAUGCUGGUCCUUUAUAGGUCUGGUAAUUGGAAUGAGUACAAUUUAAAAUCCUUAACGAGGAUCCAUUGGAGGGCAAGUCUGGUGCCAGCAGCCGCGGUAACACCAGCUCCAAUAGCGUAUAUUAAAGUUGUUGCAGUUAAAAAGCUCGUAGUUGGAUAUCUGGUAUAGGAUGCCUGGCCCGCCCUUUCACGAGGGUGUGUGCCGGCGCAACCUUACCAUCCUUCUGAGAAGCGUGUCUACUCUUUAUUGAGCGGAUACGUGACUCGGAUCAUUUACUUUGAAAAAAUUAGAGUGUUCAAAGCAGGCGUUGCUUGAAUACAUUAGCAUGGAAUAAUAAAAUAGGACUCCGGUUCUAUUUUGUUGAUUAUAGGACCGAAGUAAUGAUUAAAAGGGACAGUUGGGGGUGCUUGUAUUGGGCGGCCAGAGGUGAAAUUCUUGGAUUCGCUCAAGACAAACUUAUGCGAAAGCAUUCACCAAGGAUGUCUUCUUUAAUCAAGAACGAAAGUUGGGGGAUCGAAGACGAUCAGAUACCGUCGUAGUCUCAACCAUAAACUAUGCCAACUAAGGAUCAGCGGACGUUGUUUAAGACUCCGUUGGUACUUUCCGAGAAAUCAAAGUCUUUGGGUUCCGGGGGGAGUCUGGUCGCAAGGCUGAAACUUAAAGGAAUUGACGGAAGGGCACCACAACGGCGUGGAGCCUGCGGCUUAAUUUGACCCAACACGGGGAAAUUUACCAGGUCCGGACAUAGGCAGGAUAGACAGAUUGCAGAUCUUUCUUGAUUCUAUGGAUGGUGGUGCAUGGCCGUUCUUAGUUGGUGGAGUGAUUUGUCUGGUUAAUUCCGUUAACGAACGAGACCUCAGCCUACUAAAUAGUCAGGUCAACCUUUCGGGGUUGGCUCGUUUACUUCUUAGAGGGACUGUCGGUUUCUAGCCGACGGAAGUGUGAGGCAAUAACAGGUCUGUGAUGCCCUUAGAUGUUCUGGGCUGCACGCGCGCUACACUGUUGCACGCAACGAGCAUCACCCUUGACCGACAGGUCUGGGUAAUCUUUUAAAGUGCAACGUGCUGGGGCUAGAUUAUUGCAAUUAUUAGUCUUCAACCAGGAAUGCCUAGUAAACGCGGGUCAUCAGCUCGCAUUGAUUACGUCCCUGCCCUUUGUACACACCGCCCGUCGCUCCUACCGAUUGAAUGAUCCGGUAAAGUCUUCGGACCGUAGCGCAAGGGUGGGCAACCACCCCUACGCUUCUGGGAAGUUGAUUGAACCUUAUCAUAUAGAGGAAGGAGAAGUCGUAACAAGGUU